GAGGAAUAUUGGUCAAUGGGCGAGAGCCUGAACCAGCCAAGUAGCGUGCAGGAUGACGGCCCUAUGGGUUGUAAACUGCUUUUAUGUGGGGAUAAAGUGAGCUACGUGUAGUUUAUUGCAGGUACCACAUGAAUAAGGACCGGCUAAUUCCGUGCCAGCAGCCGCGGUAAUACGGAAGGUCCAGGCGUUAUCCGGAUUUAUUGGGUUUAAAGGGAGCGUAGGCCGUGGAUUAAGCGUGUUGUGAAAUGUAGACGCUCAACGUCUGAAUUGCAGCGCGAACUGGUUCACUUGAGUAUGCACAACGUAGGCGGAAUUCGUCGUGUAGCGGUGAAAUGCUUAGAUAUGACGAAGAACUCCGAUUGCGAAGGCAGCUUACAGGAGCACAACUGACGCUGAAGCUCGAAGGUGCGGGUAUCAAACAGGAUUAGAUACCCUGGUAGUCCGCACAGUAAACGAUGGAUGCCCGUUGUUAGUUCACUUUAGAAUUAGCGACCAAGCGAAAGCAUUAAGCAUCCCACCUGGGGAGUACGCCGGCAACGGUG
rnacentral:rRNA from 1 species